rnacentral:rRNA from 1 species
GGGGGUAGGUUAUCGGAUUACUGGGCGUAAGCGCGCGUAGGUGGUUCAGCAAGUUGGAUGUGAAAUCCCCGGGCUCAACCUGGGAACUGCAUCCAAAACUACUGAGCUAGAGUACGGUAGAGGGUGGUGGAAUUUCCUGUGUAGCGGUGAAAUGCGUAGAUCUAGGACGGAACACCAGUGACGAAGGCAACCACCUGGACUGAUACUAAC